ACGCUGGCGGCACGCCUACACCUGCAAGUCAAACGAAGUAGCAUACUUAGUCGGCAGACGGGUGAGUAACAUGUAGGUAUCUGCCCUUUGGCCUGGAAUAACACGAGGAAACUUGUGCUAAUACCGGAUAAGUCUUUACGGAGAAAGCUUUAUGCACCAUUGGAUGAGCCUGCACUUGAUUAGUUUGUUGGUGGGGUAAUGGCCUACCAAGACUGUGAUCAAUAGCUGAUUUGAGAGGAUGAUCAGCCACAUUGGGACUGAGACACGGCCCAAACUCCUACGGGAGGCAGCAGUGGGGAAUCUUGCACAAUGGAGGAAACUCUGAUGCAGCGAUGCCGCGUGAGUGAAGAAGGCCCUUGGGUUGUAAAGCUCUUUCGUCGGGGAAGAAAAUGACUGUACCCGAAUAAGAAGGUCCGGCUAACUUCGUGCCAGCAGCCGCGGUAAUACGAAGGGACCUAGCGUAGUUACGGAAUUACUGGGCUUAAAGAGUUCGUAGGUGGUUGAAAAAGUUAGUGGUGAAAUCCCAGAGCUUAACUCUGGAACUGCCAUUAAAACUUUUCAGCUAGAGUAUGAUAGAGGAAAGCAGAAUUUCUAGUGUACGAGGUGAAAUUCGUAGAUAUUCAGAACGAAUACCAAUUGCGAAGGCAGCUUUCUGGAUCCUUACUUGACACUGAGGACGAAAGCA
rnacentral:rRNA from 1 species